UACGAAGGGGGCUAGCGUUGCUCGGAAUCACUGGGCGUAAAGGGUGCGUAGGUGGGUUGGUAAGUCAGUGGUGAAAUCCCCGAGCUUAACUUGGGAACUGCCAUUGAUACUAUCAGUCUUGAAUACUGUGGAGGUCAGCAGAAUAUGUCAUGUAGCGGUGAAAUGCUUAGAUAUGACAUAGAAUACCAAUUGCGAAGGCAGCUGGCUACACAAAUAUUGACACUGAGGCACGAAAGCGUGGGGAUCAAACAGG
rnacentral:rRNA from 1 species